GAGUUUGAUCCUGGCUCAGAUUGAACGCUGGCGGCAUGCUUUACACAUGCAAGUCGGACGGCAGCACAGAGAAGCUUGCUUCUUGGGUGGCGAGUGGCGAACGGGUGAGUAACAUAUCGGAACGUACCGAGUAAUGGGGGAUAACUAAUCGAAAGAUUAGCUAAUACCGCAUAUUCUCUGAGGAGGAAAGCAGGGGACCUUCGGGCCUUGCGUUAUUUGAGCGGCCGAUAUCUGAUUAGCUAGUUGGUGGGGUAAAGGCCUACCAAGGCGACGAUCAGUAGCGGGUCUGAGAGGAUGAUCCGCCACACUGGGACUGAGACACGGCCCAGACUCCUACGGGAGGCAGCAGUGGGGAAUUUUGGACAAUGGGCGCAAGCCUGAUCCAGCCAUGCCGCGUGUCUGAAGAAGGCCUUCGGGUUGUAAAGGACUUUUGUCAGGGAAGAAAAGGACAGGGUUAAUACCCCUGUCUGAUGACGGUACCUGAAGAAUAAGCACCGGCUAACUACGUGCCAGCAGCCGCGGUAAUACGUAGGGUGCGAGCGUUAAUCGGAAUUACUGGGCGUAAAGCGAGCGCAGACGGUUACUUAAGCAGGAUGUGAAAUCCCCGGGCUCAACCUGGGAACUGCGUUCUGAACUGGGUGACUAGAGUGUGUCAGAGGGAGGUAGAAUUCCACGUGUAGCAGUGAAAUGCGUAGAGAUGUGGAGGAAUACCGAUGGCGAAGGCAGCCUCCUGGGAUAACACUGACGUUCAUGCUCGAAAGCGUGGGUAGCAAACAGGAUUAGAUACCCUGGUAGUCCACGCCCUAAACGAUGUCAAUUAGCUGUUGGGCAACUUGAUUGCUUAGUAGCGUGGCUAACGCGUGAAAUUGACCGCCUGGGGAGUACGGUCGCAAGAUUAAAACUCAAAGGAAUUGACGGGGACCCGCACAAGCGGCGGAGCAUGUGGAUUAAUUCGAUGCAACGCGAAGAACCUUACCUGGGUUUGACAUGCACCAGACGGUUGUAGAGAUACGUACCUCCCUUUGUGGUUGGUGUGCAGGUGGUGCAUGGUUGUCGUCAGCUCGUGUCGUGAGAUGUUGGGUUAAGUCCCGCAACGAGCGCAACCCUUGUCUUAUGUUGCCAGCACGUUUGGGUGGGGACUCAUGAGAGACUGCCGGGGUUAACUCGGAGGAAGGUGGGGAUGACGUCAAAUCAUCAUGCCCUUUAUGCCCAGGGCUUCACACAUGCUACAAUGGUUAGUACAACGCGCUGCGAGCCUGUGAGGGUGAGCGAAUCGCUGAAAGCUAAUCUCAGUUCGGAUUGGGGUCUGCAACUCGACCCCAUGAAGUCGGAGUCGCUAGUAAUCGCAGAUCAGCAAUGCUGCGGUGAAUACGUUCCCGGGCCUUGUACACACCGCCCGUC
rnacentral:rRNA from 1 species